rnacentral:rRNA from 1 species
AGCAGCCGCGGUAAUUCCAGCUCCAAUAGCGUAUAUUAAAGUUGUUGCAGUUAAAAAGCUCGUAGUUGAAUUUCGGGACCAAUCUGCCGGUCGUGCCUCCGGUAUGCACUGGUUUUAUUGGCUUCUCCCUUCUGACGAAUCAUGAUGUCAUUAAUUUGGUGUCAUGGGGAAUCAGGACUGUUACUUUGAAAAAAUUAGAGUGUUUAAAGCAGGCUCACGCUUGAAUACAUUAGCAUGGAAUAAUGAAAUAGGACGUUUGACCCUAUUUUGUUGGUUUCUAGGAUCGACGUAAUGAUUAAUAGGGAUAGUUGGGGGCAUUAGUAUUCAAUUGUCAGAGGUGAAAUUCUUGGAUUUAUUGAAGACUAACUACUGCGAAAGCAUUUGCCAAGGAUGUUUUCAUUAAUCAAGAACGAAAGUUAGGGGAUCGAAGACGAUCAGAUACCGUCGUAGUCUUAACCAUAAACUAUGCCGACUAGGGAUCGGAUGAUGUUAAUUUUUUUAAUGACUCAUUCGGCGCCUU